AGUUAUUUUUUUAAUGUGCUUUCCUUACCGCUUCCCGUGCCUGGUGCGUGACUUUUAGGGUCUGGUAAGAAAGCUCCAUCAGACACUGUGUUAGGGCCGGAGAGAAGGGAGAAGAGAAGCCACUUGCUGAUCGACCGCAUGUCAGACAAGAUUGCGAAGUGGAUCUCACUGCCGUGGACGUACAGCUGUUCCAGCUGUACCGCUCUGCAUCUCUGUGAUGGACUGCGACGUUUGACAUCUGGCAGUUCCUGUUGUCCGUUUCAUGAGCUUCCCACCACACACCUUGCAGUUCCUGUUGUCUGUUUCAUGAGCCUCCCAUCAUACACCUGGCUGGUGUUCAUCUCACAUUCACGAAGUGGCCCCUUUGCUGGUGCUGUGGGGACUCCAGGGACUGAAGGCAUGAGCUAUUGUUCCAGGAACUGAAGGUAUGAUACACCUCGACUCCAGGAGACCAUAAACAGUUCUACCUUUGUGCCUCAAGUAAUCAAGAAGGUAUCUGAGCCAUGGUACUCCAGAUGAAGACCACCCGCCCAGGACACAGAUGACAGAAUGCUGGGGUUUUUAUCUGAUUAACUUUUCCCCAGGAAUUCCAAACCCUUCGCCUACACUUUUCUUCUCCUUAUAAAAGGGUAGGUUUCAAAUGGAAUUUAAGAUGGUCUGUUAGAAUACAUAAGCCGCCAUCUUCUCAGAUCGCCAGCCAUCUGAAUAAAGCACCCAUAAGAUUCAAUCCGUCUCUGCUUACUGCUUGUGGUAGUGACAGGACAGCACGAACCAACGAAUGAGCGGGGUCUUUGGGUUUCAGUCCCUUGAGCAGAGAGAGGGAUUUGAAUUAAAGCAGAGCAUCUGGGUUUAGGAAGGUCUUUCUGAAGAAGUGAUACUUAAACUGAGACCUGAAAGAUGAGCAGGUGUUUGUGAGGGGAAGGGAAAGAGUGGGAAGUUAUUCUGGGCCCAGAAAUCAACAUUCAGAGGUCUGAAAACCUGGUGGUGGUGGGGGGAGGUGGGCACUGGAGGAACCUGAAAGCAGUGUAUUGUCGGUGGAGUGAGGAGUGGGAAGACGCAGCAGGUAGGAACCAUAUUAAUCAGCGACUCGUAAAAUAUGUUUAGUGUUUUAAAGUCUUUCGUGGGAGAAGUCCGUCCGCCUCUUCAAGGAAAUCUGAACCUUGUACUUGGUCCAGCGAAUUUUCUGACCAGCUGGAGUCAGCACCUUCUCUCAGCCUUUAUCAGUA